UACGGGGGGGGCAAGCGUUGUUCGGAAUUACUGGGCGUAAAGGGCUCGUAGGUUGCCAACUAAGUCAGACGUGAAAUCCCUCGGCUCAACCGGGGAACUGCGUCUGAUACUGGGCGGCUUGAAUUCGGGAGAGGGAUGCGGAAUUCCAGGUGUAGCGGUGAAAUGCGUAGAUAUCUGGAGGAACACCGGUGGCGAAGGCGGCAUCCUGGACCGAGAUUGACGCUGAGGCGCGAAAGCCAGGGGAGCAAACGGG
rnacentral:rRNA from 1 species